rnacentral:rRNA from 1 species
GAUGAACGCUAGCGGCAGGCCUAAUACAUGCAAGACGAACGGCAAGAUUUUUAGCAAUAAGAAUCCUAGAGUGUCGUAAGCGUGGGUAACACGUAUGCAAUCUGCCCUCAACAGGAGGAUAGCUCCCCGAAAGGGGAAUUAACACUCCAUAAGAUUGCGGUACGGCAUCGCAGAGCAACUAAAACUACGGUGGUUGAGGAUGAGCAUGCGCAUGAUGAGUUAGUUAGCGGGGUAACGGCCCACCAAGACGAUGAUCAUUAGGGGAACUGAGAGGUUGAUCCCCCACACUGGCACUGAGAUACGGGCCAGACUCCUACGGGAGGCAGCAGUAGGGAAUAUUGGACAAUGGGUGCGAGCCUGAUCCAGCCAUGCCGCGUGCAGGAAGACGGCCUUCUGGGUCGUAAACUGCUCUUGCCAGGGGAUAAAACGGCUCUGCGGAGCUAAUUGAAGGUACCUGGUGAAUAAGCCACGGCUAACUACGUGCCAGCCGCCGCGGUAA